GAUCCUGGCUUAGGAUGAACGCUAGCGGCAGGCUUAACACAUGGCAAGUCGGGGGGCGAGCGGGAAUGUAGCAAUACAUUGCCGGCGACCGGCGGAUGGGUGCGUAACGCGUAUGCAACCUACCUAUACAGGGAAUAACCUUUCGAAAGGGAGACUAACACCCCAUAGUAUUGAUUUAAGGCAUCUUAGAUUAAUUAAAUAUUUAUAGGUAUAAGAUGGGCAUGCGUAUGAUUAGCUAGUUGGUAAGGUAACGGCUUACCAAGGCGACGAUCAUUAGGGGUUCUGAGAGGAAGGUCCCCCACACUGGUACUGAGACACGGACCAGACUCCUACGGGAGGCAGCAGUGAGGAAUAUUGGUCAAUGGGCGCAAGCCUGAACCAGCCAUGCCGCGUGCAGGAAAGACGGCCUUAUGGGUUGUAAACUGCUUUUACAUAAGACUAACCGUAUAUUUGCGAAUAUACCUGAAUGUAUUAUGAGAAUAAGGAUCGGCUAACUCCGUGCCAGCCGCAGC
rnacentral:rRNA from 1 species